CUGUUGUCGCGCAUCUUCGGUGCCCUUCGUCGGAAGGGUGAAACGGGAAUGCGGUGAGGCGAGUGAUCGCCCAAUCCGCGGCUGCCCCCGCAACUGUAAGCGGAUUGUCUUCGGUCACAUGCGCCACUGAGUUCGGCACCAGCCGCUCGGGAAGGCGAUCAGGACAACAUCCGCAAGCCAGGAGACCGGCCGAAGACCGUAGCAACGCC
rnacentral:ncRNA from 18 species